ensembl:ncRNA C35D10.19 ncRNA
AACGACAUCGUCUCUCAUGUCCAAAUCAAUGACGGUGUAUAUGUGUGUGCUCUCUGAGGGGCUCUCCGUGCUCCGGGAGAGCUCUUUUUCGUGUCUAUGUGCUCCUGCUUUCUCACACCACAUCC